rnacentral:rRNA from 1 species
GACGAACGCUGGCGGCGUGCUUAAAACAUGCAAGUCGAACGGAGAUUUUAGAGAGCUUGCUCUUUGAAAUCUUAGUGGCGGACGGGUGAGUAACACGUGAGCAACCUGCCUAUCACAGGGGAAUAACACUUAGAAAUAGGUGCUAAUACCGCAUAUGACCACAAACCGGCAUCGGUUAGGGGUGAAAGGAGUUAAAUCUGGUGAUAGAGGGGCUUGCGUAUCAUUAGCUUGUUGGUGGGGUAACGGCUCACCAAGGCGACGAUGAUUAGCCGAUCUGAGAGGAUGACCGGCCACACUGGAACUGAGAUACGGUCCAG